rnacentral:rRNA from 1 species
ACGUAGGUGGCAAGCGUUGUCCGGAUUUAUUGGGCGUAAAGCGAGCGCAGGCGGUUUCUUAAGUCUGAUGUGAAAGCCUUCGGCUCAACCGAAGAAGUGCGUAGGAGACUGGGAAACUUGAGUGCAGAAGAGGAGAGUGGAACUCCAUGUGUGGCAGUGAAAGGCGUAGAUAUGUUGUAGAACACCAUAGGCGAAGGCAGCCCGCUGGUCUCGGACUGUGGCUGUUGCAGGAGAACAUGAGGAGCAGUCAG